UGUUGUCCACAGGAGCUGCUUCUCUUUGUUCCUCAUAAAGGGUUCACUGUGAUGUAGAUACCACCCACCCUGGCAGGCUACCUGCAUGGGAGGCUGCGAGGGGAUUCACUCUCCUGGGUCUCAUGUCUGGUCAUCAUGGAGGCAAGGUCUCUCAUUAGAGCUCCUGAGCCUUGACCACCCAAAGACUUGUAUUCUGUACAGAAUCUGUGGCCACAACACUAGUGACUCGGAUGCCCCUCUUCAGGGACUUCAAUCCACGCAUACCCGUGACUGCUGCACUCAGAACUUAACGUUGGUAUCCUGCCAAGGCCAAGCUCUGUACUGGCAGUUCCUGACCCAGAACUGAGCACACACAUAAAAGAUAAGACUGCAGGGCCACCGCUUUUGCCUCUUCCUCCUCCUCCUCACAGUGUCCCCAGCCCCAAACCUGUGGUAUGUCUUCCGCUGUCUUGAUAUUUCCUUCUCGAGGCAGUUAAUGGGUGCGCCUGGCUCCAGACGGCUUGGUGAGAACACAAAGAAAACUCCU